rnacentral:lncRNA from 1 species
CUGGAAAGCAGCUCCCUGUAACCCCGGGCCCACCGUUACGAUCUUCAUCGCGUGUGCUCCAACUGCACCUCUGCACCUGGGCCAGUGCCAGACACAGUGCGCAAUGAACCAAACCCAUAGGAAGAGAGGGAUGAAGCGAUCAGGGACCACAGAACUCAGCUCGGGUCACCUGAGCUCUAAAGCGGUCACAGGGCCUCUGUAGCCGGGUUGCCUCGAAGCCGAUGAGCCCGCCCUGGCCCAGUCUGGGCCUCAGUCUCCCUCCGUUCCCCGGCGCCUCACCUGGGGCGGCAGCAGACGCGGCAGGCGCGAGGGCUCAGCGCCCGGAGCCCGCUGCAGGGCGGCCUGCUGGGCCGCAUCCCGCAGCCGCUGAGCCGCGUCCUGCACCACGAAGGGUGGCCGCGGCGGCGGCGGCGGCGGCGGCGGCAGCUGUGCCCUCGUCACUUGCUCCAGCACCCGCCACAACUGCUCGGGGCCCAGCGGGGCCACGAGUGCCGCGCUGCCGCCCUGGCGGGGGGGAGCCCGCCCGCCGCCGCCCCUGCCGCUACUGCCGCCGUCGCCACCACGCUCGCUGCCGCCCUCGGUCUCCGACUCUGCGUCCGCCAUUACGGCCGAAGCGGGGACUCGAACCUUCGUCGCGAAGCAACGGCGCUGCUAAAAAGCUGACCCGGAUUUCCCAAGAGGAGGUCGUCGGGAUUCCAGAGCCCCUGACCUAACGCAUCACACCAUUCAAAGGUUCUCGAUGUCAUUCUACAAGGGGUUUGUGGAUUCCUGUCCGUCCCCCCCCCCGCCAUAAAUGGAACAGACUUUUCAGUUUGUUUUGGUUUGGUUUUGAGCCAGGGUCUUGCUAAAUUUGCC